CUGUGCCUAGAGGGAAGAAGCGUUUGGGUCACAGUGCUGGAGUGAGAGUUAACGCGAAGGCGGGCUUUUAGACCUGAAAGAAGACUUUUUUUUUUCUGUUUAUUGCCGUUAAAAGGCGAGUGGAGUCCAGACCGCGCUUUGUAACUCAGGGAGGUGGAUUGAAGAUGGAUCUCUUUCCAGUGAUCUGAAGGAGGGGGUUAUGCUGUCAUGUGCUGCAAUUUGAUUUAAGGACAAUGGGUCUUCCAUGAAGCUGCACUGGCUGAAUUCUCCUGCUUUGUUAGUUGCACUUUGACUUUGCUUUUUAUGCAACAUAAGCAGAAUGUUCAACUUUUGCUCAUUUUCAUUUACUAUGAGCCAAUGUAUGUGAAACUCCACCAUCUUUACAUGAAGCAAUAGCUUGUGUUUGCAGUAAAUGGCUGGUAUUUAAGCUUUGUAUUCCAUUUGUUUAAUAAAAAGGUCUUUCCAGA